AUACGUAGGGGGCGAGCGUUGUCCGGAAUGAUUGGGCGUAAAGGGCGCGUAGGCGGCCCGGUAAGUCUGGAGUGAAAGUCCUGUUUUUAAGAUGGGAAUUGCUUUGGAUACUGUCGGGCUUGAGUGCAGGAGAGGUAAGUGGAAUUCCCAGUGUAGCGGUGAAAUGCGUAGAGAUUGGGAGGAACACCAGUGGCGAAGGCGACUUACUGGACUGUAACUGACGCUGAGGCGCGAAAGUGUGGGGAGCAAACAGGAUUAGAUACCCUGGUAGUCCACACUGUAAACGAUGAAUGCUAGGUGUAAGAGGUAUCGACCCCUUUUGUGCCGCAGUCAACACAAUAAGCAUUCCGCCUGGGGAGUACGGCCGCAAGAUUAAAACUCAAAUGAAUUGACGGGG
rnacentral:rRNA from 1 species